AGAAGCAUGUGUCUACACACACUUUUGCCACAUAUAACAGAACAACUUUCCCCAAGCCUUUAAGUUCAAAGUCAAGAAACACAAGGAAGGGGCUAUUUCCAUACUUCUGCUGUGCUCAGGGUUAGUUAGCUCUUCGAAUCACGCCUCUCUUCCAACUGGGGAUUUGAAUUCCUUAGAAAGACAGUAUAUGGAGGGCAGGAAGUUAAGGACCCCGGUCCUUCUUCUGACCCUACCACUGGCUGUGUGACCUGGAGACAAGGCUUUGCUGCCUGGGUUUCACCGCAGUUAGUAGGGCAGAGGCUGCAGUGUCAGCCCUCUAGCUCCUGCUGUAGGUGUAGACUCUGGUCGGUGGCCAGAGGAAGGUAUGACGGGAGAGAGAAGGUGAGGGUUGAAGAGACAGGGUAGCCCUCAUCCCCCGGAGAGUGGCAUAGUAUGCAGCUGGGAAAGGAUCGGGAUCCAGACAUUUCAGCUGCAUGCACUGCUUAUCUCAUCCAUUGUUGCAAGAAUGAUAUAGAUGACUUUAAAAGAAAGGUAUUUACAGGUGUCACAGUGCUGGGCACUUGAUUGGGUGACGUGAGGACCACAGUGGCGGACCAGCAAUGGACCAUUCGCCGUUGCUUGCCAACAACUCUGGGGAAACGGCUGCCUGUGAGUGGGACCAGCCAGACGCUACGGAACGUGAUAAACUGGAAAAUGCUAUCUCAACCUUUCUAUUUAAGUCGUCAAGUAUUCACCAGCCACAUUCCUUCAGGAGAGCCCCCAUACGAUUCAUGUUUGGUUCUCUCACCUGACGUCUCCCACCAAAGAGAGCAGCCCAGCCUGUUGUGCAGAGUACAGAAUGUUCUCUUCUGUGAACUGAGCUUGAACUUCUCCAACCCACUUUGUCUGAGGAAUCACACAGACACAGAGGGGAAAAGGCAGUGAAGAUAACCCCCAAAUUGUUGAAAUCGUGUUCUCUCUCGUUUUGGCCCAGAUCGGUUGCUUUUCACUACGGGUAAUGAAAAAUCCCAAGCAUUACAGUUCUUG
rnacentral:lncRNA from 1 species